UGCAAGUCGAACGAUGAAGCCCUUCGGGGUGGAUUAGUGGCGAACGGGUGAGUAACACGUGGGCAAUCUGCCCUUCACUCUGGGACAAGCCCUGGAAACGGGGUCUAAUACCGGAUAAUACCGGCCUCUGCAUGGGGGCUGGUUAAAAGCUCCGGCGGUGAAGGAUGAGCCCGCGGCCUAUCAGCUUGUUGGUGGGGUAAUGGCCUACCAAGGCGACGACGGGUAGCCGGCCUGAGAGGGCGACCGGCCACACUGGGACUGAGACACGGCCCAGACUCCUACGGGAGGCAGCAGUGGGGAAUAUUGCACAAUGGGCGAAAGCCUGAUGCAGCGACGCCGCGUGAGGGAUGACGGCCUUCGGGUUGUAAACCUCUUUCAGCAGGGAAGAAGCGAAAGUGACGGUACCUGCAGAAGAAGCGCCGGCUAACUACGUGCCAGCAGCCGCGGUAAUACGUAGGGCGCAAGCGUUGUCCGGAAUUAUUGGGCGUAAAGAGCUCGUAGGCGGCUUGUCACGUCGGGUGUGAAAGCCCGGGGCUUAACCCCGGGUCUGCAUCCGAUACGGGCAGGCUAGAGUGUGGUAGGGGAGAUCGGAAUUCCUGGUGUAGCGGUGAAAUGCGCAGAUAUCAGGAGGAACACCGGUGGCGAAGGCGGAUCUCUGGGCCAUUACUGACGCUGAGGAGCGAAAGCGUGGGGAGCGAACAGGAUUAGA
rnacentral:rRNA from 2 species